GGGAGAGAAGCGCACACAGGCAAAGUACAUCACAGAGUGGUUCUACUGGAGAACCAUCACAGAAGAUGUAAAGGAGUUUAUUGCCACAUGCACUCAGUGUCAAAAAGUGCAAAAGAUAAAGACAAUGGUUCCUGAACUGACACCAAUAUAUGCCAAACAGCCCUGGGAGCUUGUUGGUAUCGAUCUUAUUGGUCCAUUCAAGGAGACAUCCACAGGUUUUAAAUACAUCAUGUCAGGGACAUGUCUCUUUUCCAAGUGGGUAUAAGCCGAGCCAAUCAAGGCAAAAUCAGCAGAGUGUGUGUACCAGGUGUUAGUGAAGUGGAUACAUCGUUGGGGUGCACCACUUAAG